UCUUCUUGGAUGAGUUGCGAACGGGUGAGUAACGCGUAGGUAACCUGCCUUGUAGCGGGGGAUAACUAUUGGAAACGAUAGCUAAUACCGCAUAACAAUGGAUGACACAUGUCAUUUAUUUGAAAGGGGCAAUUGCUCCACUACAAGAUGGACCUGCGUUGUAUUAGCUAGUAGGUGAGGUAAUGGCUCACCUAGGCGACGAUACAUAGCCGACCUGAGAGGGUGAUCGGCCACACUGGGACUGAGACACGGCCCAGACUCCUACGGGAGGCAGCAGUAGGGAAUCUUCGGCAAUGGGGGCAACCCUGACCGAGCAACGCCGCGUGAGUGAAGAAGGUUUUCGGAUCGUAAAGCUCUGUUGUAAGUCAAGAACGGGUGUGAGAGUGGAAAGUUCACACUGUGACGGUAGCUUACCAGAAAGGGACGGCUAACUACGUGCCAGCAGCCGCGGUAAUACGUAGGUCCCGAGCGUUGUCCGGAUUUAUUGGGCGUAAAGCGAGCGCAGGCGGUUUGAUAAGUCUGAAGUUAAAGGCUGUGGCUCAACCAUAGUUCGCUUUGGAAACUGUCAAACUUGAGUGCAGAAGGGGAGAGUGGAAUUCCAUGUGUAGCGGUGAAAUGCGUAGAUAUAUGGAGGAACACCGGUGGCGAAAGCGGCUCUCUGGUCUGUAACUGACGCUGAGGCUCGAAAGCGUGGGGAGCGAACAGGAUUAGAUACCCUGGUAGUCCACGCCGUAAACGAUGAGUGCUAGGUGUUGGAUCCUUUCCGGGAUUCAGUGCCGCAGCUAACGCAUUAAGCACUCCGCCUGGGGAGUACGACCGCAAGGUUGAAACUCAAAGGAAUUGACGGGGGCCCGCACAAGCGGUGGAGCAUGUGGUUUAAUUCGAAGCAACGCGAAGAACCUUACCAGGUCUUGACAUCCCGAUGCUAUUUCUAGAGAUAGAAAGUUACUUCGGUACAUCGGUGACAGGUGGUGCAUGGUUGUCGUCAGCUCGUGUCGUGAGAUGUUGGGUUAAGUCCCGCAACGAGCGCAACCCCUAUUGUUAGUUGCCAUCAUUCAGUUGGGCACUCUAGCGAGACUGCCGGUAAUAAACCGGAGGAAGGUGGGGAUGACGUCAAAUCAUCAUGCCCCUUAUGACCUGGGCUACACACGUGCUACAAUGGUUGGUACAACGAGUUGCGAGUCGGUGACGGCGAGCUAAUCUCUUAAAGCCAAUCUCAGUUCGGAUUGUAGGCUGCAACUCGCCUACAUGAAGUCGGAAUCGCUAGUAAUCGCGGAUCAGCACGCCGCGGUGAAUACGUUCCCGGGCCUUGUACACACCGCCCGUCACACCACGAGAGUUUGUAACACCCGAAGUCGGUGAGGUAACCUUUUGGAGCCAGCCGCCUA
rnacentral:rRNA from 1 species